rnacentral:tRNA from 1 species
AGCCUCGUAGUGGAGUACACGUUAGAUUGCAAAUCUGAAGACGCAGACUAAACCCUGCCGGGGCUU